GAAGGUUGGAAAAGAUGAUAAACAAAGACUGCUAUUAUAAUAAAUUUCCUAGUCUCUACCCACUAAUAUCUUUUACAAUCCCAAUAUCAGGAAAAAAGGAAGAGAAAAUUCUGUAAAUAAUUAUUAUAUUCUUCUCUUAAAGUAAGCCACUGAAUUCAAAAUUCUCUAACACAUUUGUGGAAACUUCAUUUUUCUUGUUUGAGAUUUAUUUGAAUGAGCUGUUAUGAUUGGAGACAGUGAGAAUUUCAGAUUAAUGUUUUGCAGACAAAAAAAAAAAAAACCUCUCUGGAAAGCUGGCAAGUGUUCAUAAGUCAGCCCUAGAAUUAUGUAGGUUGAAGGCUCCCAGUGGACAGACCAAACAUAUAAGAAGGAAACCAGAGAUCUGGUGCUAUUACGUCCCAGCGUCUGAGAGAACAAGUAAGCACAGAAUUCAAAGCAUUCUGCAGCCUGAAUUUUUAAGGAGUACAUUUAGGCACUAAGCAAGCUGAUUUAUGAUAACUGCUUUAAACUUCAACAAGCAAAGGCAUAAGCAUUA
ensembl:lncRNA